GGAAUGCAGUGGCGUCAUCUCGGCUCACUGCAACCUCUGCCUCCUGCAUUCAAGCAAUUCUCCUGCCUCAGCCUCCUGGGUAGCUGGGAUUACAGGAGCCUGCCACCACGCCCAGUUAACUUUUUGUAUUUUUAGUAGAGACGGGGUUUUGCCAUAUUGGCUAGGCUGGUCUUGAACUCCUGACCUCGGGUGAUCCAGCCACCUCAGCUUUCCAAAGUGCUUGGAUUAUAGCCGUGAGCCACCAUGCCCGGCGUGGUGCUGUUUCAGAUUGGUUCCAAGGAAUUUGGGAAAGUUGCAUUCCUUACUUUCCUUGAAUAUAAAAGUGGAGGCAGUGAUAAAAUCUACUUCCCUGGAUGGACUCUUGGCAGAAAUCAGUGAGACAGCCCAUGCACAAAGCUUCCCAGAAACAUCCAUCAGCACCCCCAAGAGGAAGAUGUCUGAGCCCCCAGAGAAUCAAUACAUGGAGAUCUCCAGAGGUUUUCCACGGGGUAGAAACAUCGACAAGGACUUCGGAAACACACCACUUGAAUACCUUCAAGAGUCUCGCUCUAUGACCCAGGCUGGAAUGCAGUGGCCCGAUCUCCGCUCACUGCAAUCUCCACCGCCCGGGUUCAAGCAAUUUCCUGCCUCAGCCUCCCGAGUAGCUGGGAUUACAGAUGCCUGCCACCACACUUGGCUAAUUUUUGUAUUUUCAGUAGAGACGGGGUUUCACCAUCUUGGCCAGUCUGGUCUUGAACUCCUGACCUUGUGAUCCACCAAGCUUGGCUUCCCAAAGUGCUGGGAUUACAGGUGUGAGCCAUCAUGCCCAGCCGCAAACAUAAUUCUUAAUGUUAGACGUCAAGGUAGUGGGUAUACUUUGUGGAGUAGCAACUAUAAGGGUACUGUGGGGGUUUGAAGUUAUAGUAACCUUUCAGUUGUUGAAUCUCAUGGAGUUAGGGGAAGAGAAAAAUAAACUCAAAGAUAAAAAGUCAUGACAUUUUUUGAAUCCUGCAGAGAUAUACUAUGGAAGAAAAUGUCAACUAAUAUUUACAUUUUUUAAAAAAGCUAAUUAAGUCAAGAUGUUUAUUUUUUAUGAGAACAGAAGGCACAAUUAGGCAGAAAAGAAGCAUUUUAUAAUAAAAUUGUCUAAUGUUUCCCUGGAAAUCAUUGAAUGGCAAGCAAAGAUCAACAUCUAGACUUACAGCAUGAGGCUGAGUCUCUUAGAUUCUAUGUGGAAGAGACUUCUUGGUCCUGUUCCUGAGCUCACUAGAUUUGUUGCUCCCCAAAAUUUAGACUUGUCAACAUUUCUUCUAAUGCUUCAGGUCAUUUUCCAAGUGACGUGAGAAACAGUUAUUCACAGAGCAAGGUUUUUCUGGCAUACAACUGAACAGAUCUCAAGAUCUUUUACAAGGCCAAAUUUUGAGGGCAUCAUGAUUGAUCAUCUAUGACAGGGCAGAGGGAAGAGACCACUGCGACUCCCAGAUUUCUGGGUUGGCCAUUCUAGUGGAUGGAGGUAUCCUACACCAAGGCAGAAAACAGGAAGAGCGGGAAAGACUUGCAGGCUACGAGAGCAUGCUAUUGUACUGAGUCUGCAUUGUGGGUGCCUGUAGCCAAGUUGGUUUGGAAUCUCUAGAGAGUGAUUUGGGUUUGUGCUACAGAAUAUGGAGUAGUCAGUAAAUUGGCACUGUGGAAAGAGGAAUGAACAAAACAGCUGAUGUCGCUGACUUCAUGGAGCUUACAUUCUAGUGUCCUCUGAAGCAAGAAGGCAACUAGCAUGAAGCAGAAGAGAUGGUAAAAUUAGCUCCCCUGGAAGGAUCAGAGAUUUGAAGCUGAAUGUGAUAUUUGAACUCAAAUCCAUGGCAUGGAAACCAUGACAGGUGGAAAUGAAGAGUUGUAUGGAGAUAGGGACCUUCUGAAUGUCAAAACACUCUCAAAGCGGGAAAGUCUAGGGUGUCUUCAGAAAAUUUCAUUUUGGCUAAAUAAUUAAGCAUGCUGGCUUCCAAAACCUCAUCACAAUGUUAUCUUUUAUGUAAAAACCUAAGGCCACAUACUGAAUGUUUCUGAGUUUGCUAUCAGAUUUUACAAAUUCUAAAUUAUACAAGUUUUGACAAUAACAUGACAUCUGUGCAUGCAUUUAGUAAAUGUGGGAAUAUAUUGGCAACACGAUCACUUUCAAUUAAUAAAAAUUUUUAAAAUAGUAUAUUAGCCAGGUUUUGCUAAAGUUUUGGACUGACAAUAUUUACAAUUUAGAAUAAAA
rnacentral:lncRNA from 10 species